UGGGGAAUUUUGCGCAAUGGGCGAAAGCCUGACGCAGUAACGCCGCGUGGAGGAUGAAGGCCUUCGGGUUGUAAACUCCUGUCAGGAGGAACGACGGGAGUAGAAUAAAUAGUUCUAUUCCCAGACGGUACCUCCAAAGGAAGCCCCGGCUAAUUCCGUGCCAGCAGCCGCGGUAAUACGGAAGGGGCAAGCGUUGUUCGGAAUCAUUGGGCGUAAAGGGCGCGUAGGUGGUCUUGUGUGUCUAUCGUGAAAGCACACGGCUCAACCGUGUAAAGUCGGUGGGAACUGCAGGACUUGAGGUUGGGAGGGGCUGGUGGAAUUCCCUGUGUAGCGGUGAAAUGCGUAGAGAUGGGGGGAGAACACUUGUGGCGAAGGCGGCCAGCUGGACCAAUCCUGACACUGAGGCGCGACAGCGUGGGGAGCAAACAGGAUUAGAUACCCAUGUAGUCCCUGAGCGGGCUGGCAAGGCGCAU
rnacentral:rRNA from 1 species